UAAUACGUAGGUGGCAAGCGUUGUCCGGAAUUAUUGGGCGUAAAGCGCGCGCAGGUGGUUUCUUAAGUCUGAUGUGAAAGCCCACGGCUCAACCGUGGAGGGUCAUUGGAAACUGGGAGACUUGAGUGCAGAAGAGGAUAGUGGAAUUCCAAGUGUAGCGGUGAAAUGCGUAGAGAUUUGGAGGAACACCAGUGGCGAAGGCGACUAUCUGGUCUGUAACUGACACUGAGGCGCGAAAGCGUGGGGAGCAAACAGGAUU
rnacentral:rRNA from 1 species